rnacentral:misc_RNA from 1 species
AACAGUGGUGUUUAUUAACUGAAACCAAGCCACAGUUCCCAAGAGUCAACCAAGAUCUACAAACCAAGAAGCUCAGAAAAACAAGAGAAAGGAGCUAACUAUGGUGAGUGCCAGUAAGAUUCAACUACAUUUCUAUGCUUUGUUCAGUGAAUCAUACAGGGAGGGCAUAUCUUCUAUCCAAUCAGCAUAGAUGCCACUAAUUUUUUGUGCUGCUCUCUUCUUAAAUGCGCACUUCAUGCCUCGUACUUGCAGCUGAUAACUAGUCCCAAUUACAUUCUUGCUAAUGGGAAGAGUCUUCGAAGUGUUAGUUGGCACAAAACCAGAAAACAAUCCAAUGCGGCCAAUAGGCUUUUCUAGUUCUGCUUGUCCAUGAGCGAAGCAACAUAUCUUUCCAUAUGGGCAGCUUCCAGUCCUCUCCCAGUUGUUACAUGGUCUUUUCUUAAUCACUGGCUUUGAGCUCGCACAACCACUUCUGUGAAACCCUGAAAAUCCCGUAGUUCCAGUUCUUAUGGAUAAACUCUCCCUACAAGCCCCCAAUUCUCUCUUAAUAUUGUCAGGACUUACAUGAAGGAAACGACACUUAUCCCCAUAUGUGCAUUCUUUCCUGGAAUAGAACAUUCUGCAUAAAUUUGAUGGAUCUACUGCUCUAUAAAACCCGUUCCAAGUCCUGGACAAUCCAACCUCGUUCACCACAGGCGCUUGCACGUUAGGCAGGCGCUUCCGUAACUCAUCACUGCCAUGGGCAUAGCUACAUUUGGAACCAUAGCUACAAUACCCCAAUCUAAACUUCGCGCAUAGUUGGGUCUUGAAGCUGCCAGUCACAGCAUUGUUCGUUGCCACAGGCAUUUUAGGACAUGGGGCAGCAAUUUCGCAAGUUCUGGGUAUCUUGCAUAAUGGGUCUCCAUUUUGAGAGAGAUCUUGGUAUUCUUUAUUCUCAAUGGGAAACUGAGGGCGUAACUGAAGCAUUUGGCUACAAAUCCCAGAGGUAGAAACUAGAAGUAACAAUUUGCAGCCAAGUGCUUCUCGAGAACCAGAUGGAACUUCUUUAAGAUCACAAAAACCCAGAUAGUACUGAAGAUAAAAACAUCAAAUGUCACCAACAACACUCAAUCUUAUACAAAAGAUCCAAAUGAAAAUGCUGAACCGAGAACUGUCUCCAUUGAAUAAUCAAGAAAACCCCAUAUGAAUUAGAACACAGAGCACCAAAGAUUCAUCAAAGCUUUAGGAAAACCAUGUGAACUAAAAAGUAAAAACCCUAUAAAGAUUUCCCAAUG